rnacentral:rRNA from 1 species
AUGAUGUCGACUCUCUGGACUACCCGCAAUAAGAUGGUGAUUGAGCGGGUGUUCCCGCGACGUGCUUCUGACUCGUUCUUCAAAUUUCUUGCCUUCCUGCAGCACUGGCAUCCGCUCGCUAGGCCGAGGGAUCGUGAUCGUCUUCAGCUUCUCUUGGACGCCCUGGUGUCUUCUGUGCGCCGGCUCUCCGACCGCUUGUCUGCUACUUAG